rnacentral:rRNA from 1 species
AGCAGGCAGUGGGGAAAUAUUGCACAAUGGCGCAAAGCUGAUGCAAGCAUGCGCGUGUUUGGAAGAAGGCCUUUCGGGUUGUAAAGUACUUUCAGCGGGGGAGGAAAGGGAGGUAAGUUAAUACCUUGCUCAUUGACGUUACCCGCAGAAGAAGCACCGGGCUAACUCCGUGCAGCAGCCGCGGUAUACGGAGGGGUGCAAGCGUUAAUUGGAAUUACUGGGCGUAAAGCGCACGCAGGCGGUUUGUUAAGUCAGAUGUGAAAUCCCCGGGCUCAACCUGGGAACUGCAUCUGAUACUGGCAAGCUUGAGUCUCGUAGAGGGGGGUAGAAUUCCAGGUGUAGCGGUGAAAUGCGUAGAGAUCUGGAGGAAUACCGGUGGCGAAGGCGGCCCCCUGGACGAAGACUGACGCUCAGGUGCGAAAGCGUGGGGAGCAAACAGGAUUAGAUACCCUGGUAGUCCACGCCGUAAACGAUGUCGACUUGGAGGUUGUGCCCUUGAGGCGUGGCUUCCGGAGCUAACGCGUUAAGUCGACCGCCUGGGGAGUACGGCCGCAAGGUUAAAACUCAAAUGAAUUGACGGGGGCCCGCACAAGCGGUGGAGCAUGUGGUUUAAUUCGAUGCAACGCGAAGAACCUUACCUGGUCUUGACAUCCACAGAACUUUCCAGAGAUGGAUUGGUGCCUUCGGGAACUGUGAGACAGGUGCUGCAUGGCUGUCGUCAGCUCGUGUUGUGAAAUGUUGGGUUAAGUCCCGCAACGAGCGCAACCCUUAUCCUUUGUUGCCAGCGGUCCGGCCGGGAACUCAAAGGAGACUGCCAGUGAUAAACUGGAGGAAGGUGGGGAUGACGUCAAGUCAUCAUGGCCCUUACGACCAGGGCUACACACGUGCUACAAUGGCGCAUACAAAGAGAAGCGACCUCGCGAGAGCAAGCGGACCUCAUAAAGUGCGUCGUAGUCCGGAUUGGAGUCUGCAACUCGACUCCAUGAAGUCGGAAUCGCUAGUAAUCGUGGAUCAGAAUGCCACGGUGAAUACGUUCCCGGGCCUUGUACACACCGCCCGUCACACCAUGGGAGUGGGUUGCAAAAGAAGUAGGUAGCUUAACCUUCGGGAGGGCGCUACCACUUGGAAUCCUUUGCCCG